rnacentral:rRNA from 1 species
UACGUAGGGUGCGAGCGUUGUCCGGAAUUACUGGGCGUAAAGCGCGCGCAGGCGGAUUGGUCAGUCCGGGGUGAAAUCUCACGGCUCAACUGUGAGCGGUCCCCGGAUACUGCCAGUCUCGAGGUGUCUAGAGGAGAGCGGAAUUCCCGGUGUAGUGGUGGAAUGCGUAGAUAUCGGGAAGAACACCAGUGGCGAAAGCGGC